GAUGAACGCUGGCGGCGUGCCUAAUACAUGCAAGUCGAGCGAACAGACGAGGAGCUUGCUCCUCUGACGUUAGCGGCGGACGGGUGAGUAACACGUGGAUAACCUACCUAUAAGACUGGGAUAACUUCGGGAAACCGGAGCUAAUACCGGAUAAUAUAUUGAACCGCAUGGUUCAAUAGUGAAAGACGGUUUUGCUGUAACUUAUAGAUGGAUCCGCGCCGCAUUAGCUAGUUGGUAAGGUAACGGCUUACCAAGGCAACGAUCCGUAGCCGACCUGAGAGGGUGAUCGGCCACACUGGAACUGAGACACGGCCCAGACUCCUACGGGAGGCAGCAGUAGGGAAUCUGCCGCAAUGGGCGAAAGCCUGACGGAGCAACGCCGCGUGAGUGAUGAAGGUCUUCGGAUCGUAAAACUCUGUUAUGAGGGAAGAACAAAUGUGUAAGUAACUAUGCACGUCUGGACGGUACCUAAUCAGAAAGCCACGGCUAACUACGU
rnacentral:rRNA from 1 species